CAUGCUAUCCGUUGCCACGCGCCACCACACCCCGCUCCACCUUCUCUCACAAAGACCGAGACAACAGCACCAAUGGCCAUCGAGAAUGAGUUCUUGCCGUGUCUGAACAGCUGGCCUCUUCUGUUUGGCAUUGUGAGUGUGCUGCUGGCCUUCAGCGCACACCAGUACAUCAUGCCCCGCGUGCACGAGAUGCGCGCCGCGAGAGGCAGUGCCGCACGCAAGUAGCGACCGUUUCACUGUCGUCGGUGGCAAUACGGAUGAUACCCCCCUCCCCACAAACACACAGCGUUCAUCUUUCGCGCAGAGACGUUGCAGAUCUGGUGCUCGCUGUGUUGCGAGAAACCGUUUCUUGUGGAUGAGAUGUGGCGAGUUUGCCAUCUACGUGCGUGACUGCUGCGUUCUCUCAUGUUGCGAUGCUUGACGCAGGGUGCUGGAACAACGUUUGUAAUUCAAUCGUGGACUUUGAGUUCAACGGGGGCGUUCCACCAGCCACCAUUGGUUGGCUGUUCAACGAUUGCUGUGCGUAACCUCCUUCUCUUGAGAGGUGCGCUGAUGCGGCAGCCAAAGAAGCGAAGCAUCCUGGAAGCUCGACGACGGUCUCUUUGGAGACCCUCUCGCGGUGGUGUGCACAGAAUCAUGGUAUGUUUACGCCAGAGAGUGGCAGACGACAGGGAUGCUCUCUGCACUGAGUUGUCCUCUUGGGUGGGCCACCGUGCAUUUGCGCUCACCUUCUCCUCCAUCUCUCAUACUCCACAAUCGUUGCGGUGAUAG
rnacentral:misc_RNA from 1 species